rnacentral:rRNA from 1 species
AUGUUGCAGGAGGAUGGGGGUAUUGAUGAAGAUGCGAACCAUCGAAUCAAAGCCAGAUGGAUGAAGUCGCGCCAAGCUUCUGGCAUUCUCUGUGACAAGAGAGUGCCACAAAAGCUAAAAGGCAAGUUCUACAGGACGGCGGUUCGACCCGCAAUGUUGUAUGGUGCGGAGUGUUGGCCGACUAAAAGGCGACAUGUUCAACAGUUAGGUGUGGCGGAGAUGCAUAUGUUGAGAUGGAUGUGUGGCCGCACGAGGAAGGAUCGAGUCCGGAAUGAUGAUAUAAGAGAUAGAGUUGGGGUAGCACCAAUUGAGGAGAAGCUUGUCCAACAUCGUCUGAGAUGGUUUGGGCAUAUUCAGCGCAGGCCUCCAGAAGCUCCAGUGCAUAGCGGACGGCUAAAGGGUGCGGAGAAUGUCAAGAGAGGGCUGGGUCGACCGAAUUUGACAUGGGAGUAG